AUUGAACGCUGGCGGCAUGCUUUACACAUGCAAGUCGAACGGUAACAGGCCGCAAGGUGCUGACGAGUGGCGAACGGGUGAGUAAUGCAUCGGAACGUGCCCAGUCGUGGGGGAUAACGCAGCGAAAGCUGUGCUAAUACCGCAUACGAUCUAUGGAUGAAAGCGGGGGACCGUAAGGCCUCGCGCGAUUGGAGUGGCCGAUGUCAGAUUAGGUAGUUGGUGGGGUAAAGGCCUACCAAGCCGACGAUCUGUAGCUGGUCUGAGAGGACGACCAGCCACACUGGGACUGAGACACGGCCCAGACUCCUACGGGAGGCAGCAGUGGGGAAUUUUGGACAAUGGGCGCAAGCCUGAUCCAGCAAUGCCGCGUGCAGGAAGAAGGCCUUCGGGUUGUAAACUGCUUUUGUACGGAACGAAACGGUCUGGGUUAAUACCCUGGGCUAAUGACGGUACCGUAAGAAUAAGCACCGGCUAACUACGUGCCAGCCGCCGCUGUAAGAC
rnacentral:rRNA from 1 species